AGUUUUGCAGGUUUGCAUUAGCUGUGCAGUUAUGUUGCUGUGCAAAUCCAUGCAAAACUGA
rnacentral:pre_miRNA from 1 species